GGAAAUGCAAGUCACAGCUUGAACCAGUGAUUGAGCAUGUGAUAGGAAGACGGGGCCAACCCAGGGGAGCUCAAAUACUUCCCCUGGAAGAGGAAGGAAGGUGGUAGAAACAGGAUCCACCCCUUCCCAGACCUCAUUUUAGGGUUGACAGUGGCGGUGAGAGUUUCUCAUCUGGAGAUGCCUGUUUAUUCUGAGGACCUUACAGGCCUUCUGAAGGUAAGCAGUUUCUUUCUGCUAUUUCUGUGCCUACUGCUAUCACAUUUAAGCAAAUCCUCUCUUGCUGUAGCUGAGGACCUUGCUGCUCUGUUAUCUUGUU
ensembl:lncRNA